UCCAAGAAAAUGAUCCUGGAGUAAUAGAACAUGAGGAGAAAGCAGAAAUAGAAAAAAUUCACCCAUCACCACCUCCAGGAGAGCCUUUGUGAAAACACAUAGGGACAUUAUCACCAAACUGAAAAUCUCAGAUCAAAGAGAAAAUUUUCAAGAAACAAGGAAAAACCAAUAGAAAUAAGCUAGAGCUACAGUUAGAAUGGUACAGUCCUAAUGAGCAAUUAAAGACCCCAGGUGCUGCAAUCACAUCUACUUACUGACAAUCUAAAGAAACAAGCCUGAGGCCAGGAAUCAUCAUAUAGAGAGAGCAAAAUUAUCUCUAAUAUUGAACCAGAAGACAUAGAGAUUCAAGGAAAUUGCAGAUCUUCAAGGCUUUUUAUGGUGAGUGGGCACAGCACUGGGCCAUGGAGAGGGUGACUAGGACUUGGAGCCCCCCUCCAAGUACCCUCCCAGGGGGUGGGUGGGGUGGGUGGGGUGGGUGGGGUGGGUGAAUGAACUUGGGGCCUGACGUCACCAGGUGCAGUCCCGGCCCUGGCGUCCCUAUAAAAGGAGGACUACUAGGCCGGCUACCUGUCAGAGCGAGCUAGACAGCGCCCAGAUCGGACGUGUUCAGACUUGCUCUUUGGACGUUGCGGUAUUUUGGCGUUUCCAGCCCGGAGUACCAGAAAGCUGGACUCCACUGUUGGAGCUGCGCCCGGAACAGGGAAGGAGCCUUGCAUGAGUGGAAAUUCACACGAGUGAACAGCGCUUCUGUGGAAGGUUGCCCACUUCGAUACGGAUGUGCUGUUCAGGAAGAUGGUGAGCCAAAAAUUUGAAUCGCUUCUCCCUCAUGGACCCAUGCAAUCCUGGUCCUCUCCAGAUCCUCACAAAAAUCCUGGGAAAAAGGUGUUAUUAUUCCCAAUGUGAGUAAGUUUUCAGAACUACAAGUCCUUCUUCCCCCUCUAACCUCUAAAAUGCUAAUGCCUAUUCUCCUCUUCACCUCAUUUGUGUUACAUUAUUAUUUUUACCUUAACUCCACCCCAAU